AUUAUUUGUUUGUAUUAUUUAUUUGUUACCUAAUUUCAUUAUUAUUAUUUGUUUGUAUUAUUUAUUUGUUACCUAAUAAUUUCAUUAUUAUUAUUUGUUACCUAAUUUCAUUAUUAUUAUUUGUUUGUAUUAUUUAUUUGUGACCUAAUUUCAUAAUUAUUAUUUGUUUGUAUUAUUUGUUUGUUACCUAAUAAUUUGAUUAUUAUUAUUUGUUUGUAUUAUUUAUUUGUGACCUAAUUUCAUUAUUAUUAUUUGUUACCUAAUAAUUUGAUUAUUAUUAUUUGUUUGUAUUAUUUAUUUGUUACCUAAUAAUUUCAUUAUUAUUAUUUGUUUGUAUUAUUUAUUUGUUACCUAAUAAUUUCAUUUUUAUUCAUUUGUAGCAACUUCAAGCACAAGCAUGGUAUGCUGCCAAAAUCAAAUCAAGAAACAAAUCAUUCAACCGGUGAGAAUGUUGGAAUAUUGUUAAAGAUUGUCCUAAAUUCAAAGUUAUGCCUGUUGGUCCAGAAGUAUGCAUGAACAGCACCCCUCUACACAGCUGGGCCUGCAUAUCAAAGUUGUGCUUCUAUCAAAGUUUCUUGAAUGGCUGGGCUUGCAUAUCUGAGCAACAGUCUGGAUGACUCGACGGGAAUGUGAGGCUCUGGCCAUUCUUGUUUUGUCAUCUCUCCUUGUACGCUCCUCAUCCUCUUCCAUCUCAUUUUCGGCUAUCUGAAGGUUGAACAUUUCUUCAUAUUGGUUAAACAAUUCUUCCUCUUACUGAUUGAUUUCUCACAUCAUCCUUGAUGAAGAAGAAGACAUUGUAAGGAUGGAUGGUGAAGAAGAAGCAAAAACUAUGAAUAAUGAGAUAGAGAUGUUGAGAAAAUUGGUGUGAGAUUUGUGAGGAUGGAUGGUGGAUUAUAUGGACGAUUCAGAAAGGAUUGGAUUGUAGAUAAGGUCAUGUGGCAUGCCGUCAUUCGUUAAAAAUCGGAUCGAAAUCUAUCAUCAAAGAUUCUGAAAAGAUAAUGACACGUGGCACGAUCGUAUUGGAUAAAAAUCUUAUCGAAAUCGAUCUCCAAUAAUUAUUUUUUCGGAUAAUGACAUGUGGCGCAAUUUUGAACGAGUUAAAAUCUGAUCGAAAUCUAUCGUCAAAGAUUCUCAAAAGAUAACAACACGUGGCACGAUGACAUUGGAUAAAAAUCUUAUCGAAAUCCAUCGCUAAAUACUUGUUUUUUUUAUAAAAUGACACGUGGCGCAACGAGAACGAUUUAAAAAAUCUUAUCCGAAAUUACAAAUAAUUUUAUUUUGUAUUAUUUAAACAAACAAAAAAUAAUAAUAUUUUAUUGCCUAUUGCCAGGGGGAGGGCUCCAAGGGUGGAGAUGCAAAUGGCAAUUACUGUUCUUAAGGGUAGUUACUAUUCAUUAAAUGCAGUUAUUGUUCAAUAAGGUGAAUUCAAUAGUGGAUUGCCAGGGGAAAGGGCUCCAUGGGUGGAGUUGCUCUGAAUGACAGCUAUAAAGCUUCCAUUGUUUGUUCAGUACUCUUUUCCUUGCAAAGGUAGAAAUCUGCCAUGGCUUGAAAUAUUCUAUCUUCCAUAUCUCCAGAUGUAAGAAAAGGGACCAAAACGACCAAAACCCUAAUAGGGUUUGGAAACUUAAAAGGAAACAAAACACAUAAUCAACAAAGUUCCGAAAAUGAAGUAGGAUUCUCUCCCCUCUUUUUUUCCCUCCCCUUCCCUCAUCUUCCCUCCUCUCCUAUUUGAACGAUCACGAUUAAGCCAAAUCAACAUCUUAUAUUAAUUCUUAUGGCAAGAGAAAUACAAAAUAAGAGAAUGUGAGAGGAGGGGAUUGAAGAUGAUGGACAAAGGAGGGGAGAGAAACCUAGUCCUCCGAAAAUAGCCUCAAAACUUAAAAUACUGCUUUGGGAUAGUAAACGAAGGAAAUUGGCCAAAUCACCCCUAUGUCAUAAGCAAAACUGGUGAUCCAGCCAUGUUAUUCCUUACGGAAAGGGAUCCUCUCCGGAUCCCUUCCCCCUAAUCACCAAAUCAGGGAAUCCGUAUCAUUGAAAUUUAAUUCAACGACUACAAAUAGGGGGUCACUUUAAAAGUAAUAAUAAUUUCAGCCGUUAGAUCAAAUUUUAAUGGUACAGAUUCCCUGAUUUGGUGGAUUAGGAGGAAGGGAUCCUGAGAUGAUUCAUUUCCCUUCCUUACAUCGUUCCUUUCGAAAAAUGUAUUAUGCACCCAAUUCUAACGCUUGAGCCCAGACCUGCACUCCUUGAGCUUUGUUGCCAACCUUACGUUUGUCCUCUUCGAUACGCUCAACCAUCCGUUCUACGUCAAGCUAGAUGUUGUUGAUGUAGAUAAAUUAAUUUUAAAUAAACUUUCAUCACUAAGAUCUCAAGUGGGAUACUAAUUAAUUGUACAAAGGAGUCUAACUUAUAACUUAUAUACGUCAUUAGAUUCAUUACAAGUAGAUUGUGAUUUGUCAAUCUAUCAAACAAUGGUUGAUUUUGAACCGAUGUCGUAUAUAAUAGAACUUCGAAUUCCUUUCUAACGUUCACAAUGUACUGAUGACAUAGCUGCAGCGUGUGAAAGGAGACCAUGCAUAAUGCAUAAACGUACCCAUAAAAGUCAUGAAAUGCAAAAUAUUAUAUGCAUUUGAUUAGUAUACGUGUGUGCUCGAUUGAUCCUAUCAUUCAUCUGUCACAAACUUCGAUAUUGAUUUCAACAGAACCAUUAACCUGUUAGAAACAAAAAUUAGGGUGUAAUUCACAUGGAAAAUCAAUAAAUAAUUUAUGCAAUUAUAUAUCAAAGUAAUGCAUGCACAUGAGUAAUUAAUAUUAAAUGAACAUGACAUAAUGGAUUAGAAAAACCUGAAAAUACGGUCGAGGCAAGUGUUAGACACUUUGUCCUUGAGACAAAUUUACGCCCCACUACAGUGCUCAUGAUUAAUCGGCGUAUGUCUCCCAAGAUACAAUGACCACGUCCUUAGUAGCACUCCAAAUCACAAGGCUCCAUAAACUACGAUUGUGUUGAAAACUUUCUCAUAUGGAC
rnacentral:lncRNA from 1 species